UACGUAGGUGACAAGCGUUGUCCGGAUUUACUGGGCGUAAAGAGCGCGCAGGCGGUCGUUCAAGUCGAGUGUGAAAGCCCCCGGCUCAACUGGGGAGGGUCAUUCGAUACUGAUCGACUCGAAGGCAGGAGAGGGAAGUGGAAUUCCCGGUGUAGUGGUGAAAUGCGUAGAUAUCGGGAAGAACACCUAUGGCGAAGGCAGCUCUCUGGGACGGUACUGACGCUGAGACGCGAAAGCGUGGGGAGCGAACAGG
rnacentral:rRNA from 1 species